rnacentral:rRNA from 1 species
UUGAACUGAAGAGUUUGAUCCUGGCUCAGAUUGAACGCUGGCGGCAUGCCUUACACAUGCAAGUCGAACGGCAGCACGGGUGCUUGCACCUGGUGGCGAGUGGCGAACGGGUGAGUAAUACAUCGGAACAUGUCCUGUAGUGGGG